GGAUAACCCGCGGAAACGCGGCCUAAUACCCCGUGACGCCACCGGAGGGCAUCCUCCGGUGGCCAAAGGAGCGAUCCGGUGGCGGAUGGGCAUGCGGCGCAUUAGCUAGACGGCGGGGUGACGGCCCACCGUGGCGACGAUGCGUAGGGGUUCUGAGAGGAAGGCCCCCCACACUGGGACUGAGACACGGCCCAGACUCCUACGGGAGGCAGCAGUGAGGAAUAUUGGUCAAUGGGCGGAAGCCUGAACCAGCCAAGUCGCGUGAGGGAUUAAGGCCCUGCGGGUCGUAAACCUCUUUUGCCGGGGAGCAGUGGUCCGGACGCGUCCGGGCCGGGAAAGUACCCGGAGAAAAAGCAUCGGCUAACUCCGUGCCAGCAGCCGCGGUAAUACGGAGGAUGCGAGCGUUAUCCGGAUUUAUUGGGUUUAAAGGGUGCGUAGGCGGGCAUUUAAGCCGGCGGUCAAAUGUCGGGGCUCAACCCCGGCCUGCCGUCGGAACUGGGUGCCUUGAGUGGGCGAGAAGUAUGCGGAAUGCGUGGUGUAGCGGUGAAAUGCAUAGAUAUCACGCAGAACCCCGAUUGCGAAGGCAGCAUACCGGCGCCCUACUGACGCUGAGGCACGAAAGUGCGGGUAUCGAACAGGAUUAGAUACCCUGGUAGUCCGCACAGUAAACGAU
rnacentral:rRNA from 1 species